rnacentral:rRNA from 1 species
UACGUAUGGGGCAAGCGUUAUCCGGAUUUACUGGGUGUAAAGGGAGCGUAGACGGCAGGGCAAGUCUGGAGUGAAAGGCAGGGGCCCAACCCCUGGACUGCUCUGGAAACUGUCCGGCUGGAGUGCAGGAGAGGUAAGUGGAAUUCCUAGUGUAGCGGUGAAAUGCGUAGAUAUUAGGAGGAACACCAGUGGCGAAGGCGGCUUACUGGACUGUAACUGACGUUGAGGCUCGAAAGCGUGGGGAGCAAACAGG